UGAUCCUGGCUCAGAAUCAACGCUGGCGGCGUGCCUAACACAUGCAAGUCGAACGAGAAAGUGGAGCAAUCCAUGAGUAAAGUGGCGACCGGGUGAGUAACACGUGACUAACCUACCCUGAAGUGGGGAAUAACCUCGGGAAACCKKRGCUAAUACCGCAUAACAUCGCGAGCUGUAAACGCUUGUGAUCAAAGGAGCAAUUCSCUUUAKGAGGGGGUCGCGGCUGAUUAGCUAGUUGGUGAGGUAACGGCUCACCAAGGCGAWGAUCAGUAUCCGGCCUGAGAGGGCGCACG
rnacentral:rRNA from 1 species